rnacentral:rRNA from 1 species
GUUGAACGCUGGCGGCAGGCCUAACACAUGCAAGUCGAGCGGAUGAAGGGAGCUUGCUCCUGGAUUCAGCGGCGGACGGGUGAGUAAUGCCUAGGAAUCUGCCUGGUAGUGGGGGAUAACGUCCGGAAACGGGCGCUAAUACCGCAUACGUCCUGAGGGAGAAAGUGGGGGAUCUUCGGACCUCACGCUAUCAGAUGAGCCUAGGUCGGAUUAGCUAGUUGGUGGGGUAAAGGCCUACCAAGGCGACGAUCCGUAACUGGUCUGAGAGGAUGAUCAGUCACACUGGAACUGAGACACGGUCCAGACUCCUACGGGAGGCAGCAGUGGGGAAUAUUGGACAAUGGGCGAAAGCCUGAUCCAGCCAUGCCGCGUGUGUGAAGAAGGUCUUCGGAUUGUAAAGCACUUUAAGUUGGGAGGAAGGGCAGUAAGUUAAUACCUUGCUGUUUUGACGUUAUCAACAGAAUAAGCACCGGCUAACUUCGUG